AGUGUCAGAACAAUCACUGUACUCCAUUUACCCAGCAGAGGGUUUCUUUGAAGAAAUAAUUUGAAGACUGAGAUGCCAGU